rnacentral:misc_RNA from 1 species
ACAACUUCCACCUGGCUUACCUUUUCAGUCUUGUGUCAUUGCUUGUAUCGCAUUGAAUGCAUGGUGGGUUUCUUGUGUUGCAUGCCUAAUUGAUGGUAUCAUUUGAAGAACUGAUGUCCCUUUUCAUCUUGUGUCGNACAUGCGAUGUGAGAUGAACCUUGAAGUAGCCUUUGUGAUCCACUCUUUCGAUGUACACGCAUUGAUUUUGUGGCCCACUGUGUGUUGCUUGGUCUCAUGGAUAUGGAACCUGGUGUGGGCAUGGGAUCUUUACUAGUUCCUUGUUUGCCCUGGUUUAGCUUUUCUAAUACACGAUUGUUUAUCACAUUUUAAUGUGGUAGGCUAUAUCGGAUAUGAAUGCUACCUGGUUGAUCCUGCC